GGCAGGGGCGGCUGCAGCAGCCGCCGAAAGCAGAGGCUCUAGGGGGUGGGGAUCAGAUUGCACCAUUUCUGUCUCAUCUGGCAGCAGAAGCACCGAGUCACAGGAGGAUGAGGAGGUAGUCCAGAGGCUGCUGGGCUAUGUCACUCUGAAGUGGUAUGCUGAAUUGUAUAACUGCACACAGACAAGAAGGAAAUCAGAGUUUACCUGCACUGAAAAGCAGUCCCAGCUCUCCAAUGCCAACACAAUCUGACACAUGCUAAAAACUGCCUGAAGCACUGACACAGGAGGCAGCGGCUGUGCUGUGCUACAGCAUCCUAGGAGGAACAGGAAGAUGCUUUUCGCCUGCUAAAGGCACCAGUUCCUGACCCACAGAGUAAUAAAAAAUAAAGAGGAUCAUACUUCCAGAUGAAUGCCAUUUACAUACACACAAACGCUACGUUCCACUAAGGUUCUCUGGUUAACUUUUCAGGCCUUGAGAAGUAUCUGCCAGAUAGAUUUGUAAAGGGAGACAGUAUCUUCC